AUUGAACGCUGGCGGCAGGCCUAACACAUGCAAGUCGAACGAGCGGCGGACGGGUGAGUAAUGUCUGGGAAACUGCCUGAUGGAGGGGGAUAACUACUGGAAACGGUAGCUAAUACCGCAUACCAUCAGAUGUGCCCAGAUGGGAUUAGCUGGUAGGUGGGGUAACGGCCCACCAAGGCGACGAUCAGUAGCGGGUCUGAGAGGAUGACCAGCCACACGGGGACUGAGACACGGUCCAGACGCCUACGGGAGGCAGCAGUGGGGAAGUUUGGACAAGGGGCGCAAGCCUGAUCCAGCCAUGCCGCGUGUCUGAAGAAGGCCUUCGGGUUGUAAAGGACUUUUGUCAGGGAAGCGUUACCCGCAGAAGAAGCACCGGCUAACUCCGUGCCAGCAGCCGCGGUAAUAC
rnacentral:rRNA from 1 species